UGGACCGCUCGUUUGACAGCCUAACACAUGCAAGUCGAACGGCAGCACAGAGGAGCUUGCUCCUUGGGUGGCGAGUGGCGGACGGGUGAGGAAUACAUCGGAAUCUACUUUUUCGUGGGGGAUAACGUAGGGAAACUUACGCUAAUACCGCAUACGACCUACGGGUGAAAGCAGGGGGAUCUUCGGACCUUGCGCGAUUGAAUGAGCCGAUGUCGGAUUAGCUAGUUGGCGGGGUAAAGGCCCACCAAGGCGACGAUCCGUAGCUGGUCUGAGAGGAUGAUCAGCCACACUGGAACUGAGACACGGUCCAGACUCCUACGGGAGGCAGCAGUGGGGAAUAUUGGACAAUGGGCGCAAGCCUGAUCCAGCCAUACCGCGUGGGUGAAGAAGGCCUUCGGGUUGUAAAGCCCUUUUGUUGGGAAAGAAAUCCAGCCGGCUAAUACCUGGUUGGGAUGACGGUACCCAAAGAAUAA
rnacentral:rRNA from 1 species